UUGAGGGCGAAGUCCGGCUCUCGUAGGAGUCCGGACGAAGCUUACCAGCAGUCGAGGUCAAGGAUGGAGCCCGGCUCCCGUGGGAGUCCGGGCGAAGCCUUCCAGCAGUUGAGGUUGGGGAUGAAGUCCGGCUCCCGUAGGAGUCCGGACGGAGUCUGCCUGUAGGUGGAGUCGGAGACGAGAUCUGGCUCCCGUAGGAGUCCGGACGAAGCUUGUAUGCAGUCG
rnacentral:lncRNA from 1 species